rnacentral:rRNA from 1 species
CCUACGGGUGGCAGCAGUGGGGAAUAUUGCACAAUGGGGGAAACCCUGAUGCAGCGACGCCGCGUGAGUGAAGAAGUAUUUCGGUACGUAAAGCUCUAUCAGCAGGGAAGAAAAAAAGUCCUUUGGACUUUGGACGGUACCUGACCAAGAAGCCCCGGCUAACUACGUGCCAGCAGCCGCGGUAAUACGUAGGGGGCAAGCGUUAUCCGGAUUGACUGGGUUUAAAGGGAGCGUAGACGGCAGCGCAAGUCUGGAGUGAAAUGCCGGGGCCCAACCCCGGAACUGCUUUGGAAACUGUGCAGCUGGAGUGCAGGAGAGGUAAGCGGAAUUCCUAGUGUAGCGGUGAAAUGCGUAGAUAUUAGGAGGAACACCAGUGGCGAAGGCGGCUUACUGGACUUUAACUGACGUUGAGGCUCGAAAGCGUGGGGAUCAAACAGGAUUAGAUACCCUAGUAGUC